rnacentral:rRNA from 1 species
UACGUAGGGAGCGAGCGUUAUCCGGAAUUAUUGGGCGUAAAGCGUACGUAGGCGGUUUGUUAAGUCAAAUCUGAAAGCCCCCAGCUUAACUGGGGAGGGUGAUUUGAAACUGGCAGACUUGAGUAUGGCAGAGGUAAGUGGAAUUUCAAGUGUAGCGGUGGAAUGCGUAGAUAUUUGAAGGAACACCAGUGGCGAAGGCGGCUUACUGGACCAGAACUGACGCUGAGGUACGAAAGCGUGGGGAGCAAACAGG